rnacentral:pre_miRNA from 1 species
AAAUAGGGCCUGAGCCAAAACCCACUGAAAUCAAUGGCAGUCUUUCCAUUAACUUCAGUGGGCUUUGGAUCAGGUCCAUAUUCUU